rnacentral:rRNA from 1 species
UGAAUACGAGACGCUAAGGCGUCGAAGUAGUGUAUGUCAUACUUCCAAGAAAAGCUUGCACUGUCAUAGAUAAAAAACGCCUGUACCAUAACCGACACAGGUGGGUAGGUAGAGUAUACUAAGGGGCGCGAGAUAACUCUCUCUAAGGAACUCGGCAAAAUAACUCCGUAACUUCGGGAGAAGGAGUGCCUUAUUAUUAAGGCUGCAAUAACAAGAUCCAAGCAACUGUUUAUCAAAAACACAGGUCUCCGCUAAGUCGUAAGACGAUGUAUGGGGGCUGACGCCUGCCCAGUGCCAGAAGGUUAAAGAAGUUGGUUAGCAUUUGCGAAGCUGAUAACUGAAGCCCUGGUGAACGGCGGCCGUAACAAUAACGGUCCUAAGGUAGCGAAAUUCCUUGUCGGGUAAGUUCCGACCCGCACGAAAGGCGUAAUGAUUUGGAUACUGUCUCGGAGAGGGGCUCGGUGAAAUAGACUUGUCUGUGGAGAUGCGGACUACCUGCACCAGGACAGAAAGACCCUAUAAGCUUUACUGUAACUUGAAAUUGAAAUUGGACUUUAUUCGCGCAGCAUAGGUGGGAGGCGUUGAUUAUAAUCUUGUGGGAUUAUUGGAGCCAUCAGUGAGAUACCACUCUUGUAAUGUUAGAUUUCUAACUUUGAAUCAUUAUCUGGUCAAAGAACAGUUUCAGGCGGGCAGUUUGACUGGGGCGGUCGCCUCCUAAACGGUAACGGAGGCGUACAAAGGUUUCCUCUGAACGGUUAGAAAUCGUAUCUAGAGUGUAAAGGCAUAAGGAAGCUUGACUGUGAGACCUACAAGUCGAGCAGGGACGAAAGUCGGUCUUAGUGAUCUGACGGUACUGAGUGGAAAGGCCGUCACUCAACGGAUAAAAGUUACUCUAGGAUAACAGGCUGAUCUCCCCCAAGAGUUCACAUCGACGGGGAGGUUUGGCACCUCGAUGUCGGCUCAUCGCAUCCUGGGGCGGUAGUACGUCCCAAGGGUUGGGCUGUUCGCCCAUGAAAGCGGUACGCGAGCUGGGUUCAGAACGUCGUGAGACAGUUCGGUCCAUAUCCGGUGUAGGCGUUAGAAUAUUGAGAGGAGCCUUCUUUAGUACGAGAGGACCGAGAAGGACAUACCUCUGGUGUACCAGUUAUCGUGCCAACGGUAAACGCUGGGUAGCUAUGUAUGGAGUGGAUAACCGCUGAAAGCAUCUAAGUGGGAAGCCCACCUCAAGAUAAGUAUUCUC